UGAGCCGCGAGUACAGCAUGAGUGCGGCUCCGAUGUUUUUAUUUUCAUUUCUGUUGCUCAUUUAAUUUGUCUUCUUUAAAUAAAUAACACUGUUGCUAGUAAAAAAUAAAAACCCCUCGAGAUGUGAAAUGCGACCUGUGUGAGCUUCGUGUGAUUUCUGCUGCAACUUGAGUUAGGCGAGCGAUCCCUUACGUUAAUGCUAACUCAGCGCGUUACAUACACACAGAAGAGGACAACAAACACGAGGCUCAUUUUGUGUCUUUUUUUUUAUUUGUUUUCUUUAGCACAGAGAUAUCUCGAUCUGUACACCAUCAGAAAUCUGCUGGGGAGUGGAGGCUUUGGAUCAGUGUACGAAGGUGUUCGUAGGAAAGAUGGACAGCAGGUUGCCAUUAAACACCUCCGUAAGGACGGCUCGGACCUGUACAUCACCGUUAUGUUCGACUACUGAAGCCUCAAAAAUCUCGUAAGGCCAUGGCAGUUUUCCAGCACAGGUGUGUGUCCCUCUGCAGCUGGGGACAGACCUGCUCCUCAACAGAGGAUAAGUAAAUGUCCAGUGCAGGCCUGUGGACACUCAUCACUUUUCUUCAGAUUCUCCCACUCAAGUUAUGGAGGAGAAUUUGGCAUACCGGCGCAAGCUGGUGCUGUUCCCAUCGAGCCCAGCACUUCUAUCAAGCACGGUCCCCACACCGAACCCACAUUCGGACUCUGGACAUGGACCCUGGACCCUCGGCAACCAGCACUCCCCAGCCCAGCAGCACUCCACCCUACGUGAUGGUCCAUCAGCCGAGACGUGUUCCUCCAACAGCAUUCAACCACCUGUGCCACGUCAACUACGUGCAUACAUUAGGUGAGUGGAAGGCCAACACUUGCAGAAAGUGUGGACAUCAGCAACUGGACAUAGCCAGGACAAGGCCAGAAUUUAUUGUCCAGUGACAGAGACGAUGACAAAAGCAGUUGCUCAAAAAAAUUAAGAAAAUAUAGAUAUGUUGCAUAUAGCGCUUGUAUUCUUACAAAGUUAUAUGUAUAUUUUAUAUUGAAAUAUUUGAUGUUUAAAUAUUAUUUUUCUCUUUUGUUUAUAGUUUAAUAUAUUGCUAUUUUAUAAUUUGUUCCUGUAUUUAUUGUUAGGGUACAUGUCAUCUAUUAUUUGAAUUGUAUUUGCACAUUAUUCAACUGCUGCUAUACGUACUGCAUUGUCUCUUUGCACUGUCUUUUGUCUUGCACUGUUUGCACCAAGUUGCACACGAUGUACUUUAUGUAGCUAGGACAGCUUACUUUCUGUCCUUAGCUCUCUGUGUUGUUUUGUAAUUAUAUGUUGUUGUGUUGUUUAUGUAGCACCAGGGUCCUGGAGAAACGUUGUCUCAUUUCACUGUGUACUGCAUCAGCUAUAUGUGGUCAAAAG